rnacentral:lncRNA from 1 species
UAUUUCCUCUAACCUCUUUUUCAUUCCUGAUGGCCUCAUCGUUAAGAGUCGGAUGUUCCCACCAAGCAUGGGGCUUGCUGACACCCAUGGCCACACUCCCACAUCUCCCCCUUCUUCAUUAAUAUCAACCAUCUUCUUGACACAAAUUACUAUGCCAUAUAUCAUAGUGGCAUCCCUGGCCAUGGCAGGGGGAGUGGAACUAGGUGAUCUUUAAGGUCCCUUCCAACCUGAGCCACUCUGCGUUUCUAUGGCUGUAGGAUUCUGUGAUUCUACGACCAAGACACUAUCUGUGGCAGGGUCACAAAUUUUUAUUUGUAUGACAACCACGUGUGCCCUGCUAAAGGCGCGGGGGCCUCUUGCAGGGCUGGGGAGAGUCUGGGUUGCUGUCGGCCCUCCUCUUCCUCCUCCGCCGGGGCCUCCCAGGUGAGCUGUCCCUGCCCUGGCCAGGAGGAGAGGGCUCGUGGCUGCAGCCCGGCACCACGGCAUCUUCUUCUUCCACCUCUCGUGGCUCUGAGAAGGGCUCCUCCUGCUCCCCGGGGAUGGGUGCGGUGGGCGGGUCGCCAGGACCCCCACGCAGGGCGGCACCGGAGGUGCUGGGCAGCUCAUCGAGGUCAGAAGCCUCCGGGCUGCUGGAGGACAGCAGCAUGCUGACAGGAGUGUCCCGGGUGGAGGCAGUAGGGCUGGGGGUGGCCUCGGGGCUCUCUUCUGGCUCCCAGGUGUCUUGGGAGCCCUCGAGCUCUGGCUCCCAGGUGUCUUGGGAGCCCUCGAUGUUUGGCUCCCAGGUGUCUUGGGAGCCCUCGAGGUCCACCUCAGGGCCGUUGUAGAGCCGGCUGGCAGGACGCGGUUCCAGGAAUCCCAGGUGCUCCAGGUACUCCUCGCUGCACGUCUGCACCAUGAUGGAAAUGAGGCGCUGCACAAAGCUCAGCGUGUGGCCCUGCAGCAACGGUUGCAGCUCCCGCACCAAGGCCUGCUCAUCCAGCCCACAGCGGCACAGCCAAGCGAUGACGGUGGCCUCCAGCAUGUCCUGGUCCCACCAGGCAGCGUUGAACAGCUCCCUGGCUUGCUGUCGCACCCAGGAGCGCAGCGGACCGAGGACUUCCAGGUGCUCCCUGAAGAGGGCCGCCCAUUCCUCAGGCAGGAGGCCUCUCAGGGCAGGCUGGGGCACUGGCUCUGCAGCCCCCUGCUCGUCCUGCUGGCUGUGGUCUUGGGCCUCUGCGUCGGGGGCAAGCUGCACCUCCAGGAAGUCGUCUUCCGCCCAGAUGGAGUAGCGGAUGGAGGUGAUGCGCUGCCUGCAGAGGGGGCAGGUGCUGCUUCUCUUGGCCCAGCGCAUGAUGCACCCGAAGCAGAAGUGGUGCAGACAGGGGAGGGUGUAGCUGGGCUCCUUGGGGGCCCCCUGGCACACAGGGCAGGUGACGUCCUGGGCCUCACUGGCCAUGGCGUCGGCUCGCUGCAGCGGGCUGGGGAGAGCUGCAGAUGGGGAGCUGCUUCCCCUGGCUGGCGCCGCUGCCACAGGUGCUGUGUGCUGCAAGAAGGAGAGAGGCCAGGGUCAGUGGCUGUGCCGGAGCGGGCAGCGGCAGUGCCCCGGCCCCUCAGCAGGACAAAACCCCAACGCGAGCCCCGGGGCACGUGUCCCCGCACAGCUCACCUGCACUGCUGCGAGCACUCUCCACACAGCCCCGGCUGCCUGAGCCAGGCAGGGCUGGGGAAACGCAGGCACUGGCUGCGGGGACGGGCACUGAGAGCAGCUGCCGACGGCCCCACAGCACAGCUCCAACAACUCCUCUCAACAAAUCCUUGCUCGGCACUCCAAGCCUCGCACACACGCUCAGCGGGAGUCCAGGCACGAGCCAGGCUGGGCCAGGCUCUGACGGCACCCCAAGAUAAGCAGGGAGGCCUGUGA